UACGUAGGGGGCAAGCGUUGUCCGGAAUCAUUGGGCGUAAAGCGCGUGUAGGCGGCCCGGUAAGUCCGCUGUGAAAGUCGGGGGCUCAACCCUCGAAUGCCGGUGGAUACUGUCGGGCUAGAGUGCGGAAGAGGCGAGUGGAAUUCCUGGUGUAGCGGUGAAAUGCGCAGAUAUCAGGAGGAACACCGAUGGCGAAGGCAGGUCUCUGGGCGAUUAACUGACGCUGGAGGAAGCGAAAGCAUGGGGAGCGAACAGG
rnacentral:rRNA from 1 species